UACGAGGGGUGCAAGCGUUGCUCGGAAUUAUUGGGCGUAAAGGGUAGGUAGGUGGUCUCAUUUGUCUGUGGUGAAAGCCUUGGGCUUAACUCAAGAAGUGCCGCAGAAACGGUGAGACUGGAGUCCUGGAGAGGGUCGUGGAAUUCCCGGUGUAGCGGUGAAAUGCGCAGAGAUCGGGAGGAACACCAGAGGCGAAGGCGGCUUCUUGGCCUGUUCUUGACGCUGAGGCGCGAAAGCUGGGGGAGCAAACGGG
rnacentral:rRNA from 1 species